rfam:Trichobilharzia regenti genome assembly, scaffold: TRE_scaffold0051547
GACUAGUGUCAAAUCAAAGAACAGUAGAGUAAAUACCACAACUCCUUUUCCAGCAGUUUAAACGAACUGAUUAAACACCUUCAAAGCAGCCAAACUUAAGAUCGGUAGGCAAAUGCCUCAUCAUCUAAUUAGUGACGCGCAUAGAUGGAUUAACUAGAUUCCUACUGUUCUUAUCUACUAUCCUAGCGAAACUACAGCCAAGGGAAUAGUCAUUG